UAAUACAUGCAAGUCGAACGCGUCUCCGUUAAUGAUUUUAGGUGCUUGCACUUGAAAGAUUUAACAUUGAGACGAGUGGCGAACUGGUGAGUAACACGUGGGUAACCUGCCCUUGAAGUAGGGGAUAACACUUGGAAACAGGUGCUAAUACCGUAUAACAACCAAAACCACCUGGUUUUGGUUUAAAAGACGGCUUCGGCUGUCACUUUAGGAUGGACCCGCGGCGUAUUAGCUUGUUGGUAAGGUAACGGCUUACCAAGGCGAUGAUACGUAGCCGACCUGAGAGGGUAAUCGGCCACAUUGGGACUGAGACACGGCCCAAACUCCUACGGGAGGCAGCAGUAGGGAAUCUUCCACAAUGGACGAAAGUCUGAUGGAGCAACGCCGCGUGAGUGAUGAAGGGUUUCGGCUCGUAAAACUCUGUUGUUGGAGAAGAACAGGUGUCAGAGUAACUGUUGACAUCUUGACGGUAUCCAACCAGAAAGCCACGGCUAACUACGUGCCAGCAGCCGCGGUAAUACGUAGGUGGCAAGCGUUGUCCGGAUUUAUUGGGCGUAAAGCGAGCGCAGGCGGUUUUUUAGGUCUGAUGUGAAAGCCUUCGGCUUAACCGGAGAAGUGCAUCGGAAACCGGGAGACUUGAGUGCAGAAGAGGACAGUGGAACUCCAUGUGUAGCGGUGAAAUGCGUAGAUAUAUGGAAGAACACCAGUGGCGAAGGCGGCUGUCUGGUCUGUAACUGACGCUGAGGCUCGAAAGCAUGG
rnacentral:rRNA from 1 species